rnacentral:rRNA from 1 species
UACGGGGGGGGCAAGCGUUGUUCGGAAUUACUGGGCGUAAAGGGCGCGUAGGCGGCCUGCUAAGUCACACGUGAAAUCCCUCGGCUCAACCGGGGAACUGCGUGUGAUACUGGCGGGCUUGGAAUUCGGGAGAGGGAUGUGGAAUUCCAGGUGUAGCGGUGAAAUGCGUAGAUAUCUGGAGGAACACCGGUGGCGAAGGCGGCAUCCUGGACCGAGAUUGACGCUGAGGCGCGAAAGCUA